rnacentral:rRNA from 1 species
GAUGAACGCUGGCGGCGUGCCUAAUACAUGCAAGUCGAGCGAACAGACGAGGAGCUUGCUCCUCUGACGUUAGCGGCGGACGGGUGAGUAACACGUGGAUAACCUACCUAUAAGACUGGGAUAACUUCGGGAAACCGGAGCUAAUACCGGAUAAUAUAUUGAACCGCAUGGUUCAAUAGUUAAAGACGGUUUUGCUGUCACUUAUAGAUGGAUCCGCGCCGCAUUAGCUAGUUGGUAAGGUAACGGCUUACCAAGGCAACGAUGCGUAGCCGACCUGAGAGGGUGAUCGGCCACACUGGAACUGAGACACGGUCCAGACUCCUACGGGAGGCAGCAGUAGGGAAUCUUCCGCAAUGGGAGAAAGCUUGACGGAGCAACGCCGCGUGAGUGAUGAAGGUCUUCGGAUCGUAAAACUCUGUUAUUAGGGAAGAACAAAUGUGUAAGUAACUAUGCACGUCUUGACGGUACCUAAUCAGAAAGCCACGGCUAACUACGUG